UGGGGAAUAUUGCACAAUGGAGGGAACUCUGAUGCAGCGACGCCGCGUGAGUGAUGAAGGAAUUCGUUUCGUAAAACUCUGUUCUAUGGGAAGAAAAGGACUGUACCAUAGGAGAAAGCUCCGGCUAAACACGUGCCAGCAGCCGCGGUAAUACGUAUGGAGCGAGCGUUGUCCGGAAUUAUUGGGCGUAAAGGGUGCGCAGGCGGCUUUACAAGUUGGAUGUGAAAUAUUGUGGCUCAACCACAAACGUGCAUCCAAAACUGCAAAGCUUGAGUUAAGGAGAGGUAAGUGGAAUUCCUGGUGUAGCGGUGGAAUGCGUAGAUAUCAGGAGGAAUACCGGUGGCGAAGGCGACUUACUGGACUUAAGCUGACGCUCAGGCACGAAAGCGUGGGGAGCAAACAGG
rnacentral:rRNA from 1 species